UUUUAUUGGCGGGUACAACUGUACAUGUAAGAAUGGGUUUAACACAAGUAAUGGAGUGCUUGAGACAAUCGCUGAUUUAUGCAGAGAUAUAAAUGAAUGUGCUUCAGAAACAACAAACAACUGCUCAGUUAAUGCUAUAUGUAACAAUUUUAUUGGCGGGUACAACUGUACAUGUAAGAAUGGGUUUAACACAAGUAAUGGAGUGCUAGAGACAAUCGCUGAUUUAUGCAGAGAUAAAAAUGAAUGUGCUUCGGAGACAACAAGCAACUGCUCAGUUAAUGCUAUAUGUAACAAUUUUGUUGGUGGGUACAACUGUACAUGUAAGAAUGGGUUUAACACAAGUAAUGGAGGAAUAGAGACACCGUCAGAUUUAUGUGGA
rnacentral:lncRNA from 1 species